AAGUCGUAACAAGGUUUCCGUAGGUGAACCUGCGGAAGGAUCAUUAACACGUAUCCACGUAUCAACCAAUGAGAACCGUUUUCCCGUCUCCCUGUGCAAAGAAUGAAUUGGAACCAGUUUGAGGGAUUGAUGGGACCGAAAGGUCGGCCUUCCUGGUAUACUUACGUAAAUAGAAAUGUUUGCGUAGACAAUUGUAUUUUUGUUACAGGCUAUUUCUUAUCGCUUUGAUCCCCAUCAUGAUCGUGGCGGUAGGGAAAUUUUCACUAUAUUUACCUUUUUUGCUAGUUGACUUUUUAUAUGUGUUGUCUUGCGAAAGCAUGGUGGCACACGUUUAUUAAUUGAACGUUAAAAAAUACAACUCUUAGCAAUGGAUAUCUUGGUUCUC
rnacentral:misc_RNA from 1 species